UACGUAGGGGGCAAGCGUUGUCCGGAAUCAUUGGGCGUAAAGAGCGUGUAGGCGGCCCGGUAAGUCCUCUGUGAAAGUCGGGGGCUCAACCCUCGAAUGCCGGUGGAUACUGUCGGGCUAGAGUGCGGGAGAGGCGAGUGGAAUUCCUGGUGUAGCGGUGAAAUGCGCAGAUAUCAGGAGGAACACCAGUGGCGAAGGCGGCUUUCUGGUCUGUAACUGACGCUGAGGCGCGAAAGCGUGGGGAGCAAACAGG
rnacentral:rRNA from 1 species